rnacentral:piRNA from 1 species
UGUGUAGACCAGGUUCUCCUCGAACCCAGA